ACACAGAACUAGCAUUCUUUGUCUUUCUCUCUUUUCUUAUUUCAUGUUUUGGUGGGAGGUGCGAGUUUGGUAGUUCUGCAGAUGGACAUUGCAGGACUUCACACUUCAUUGCCUGAGAGCUCUUGGCUGUAGAUCACCGCACACACUCCGCCGAAUUUCAGGCAUGUCUAAGCUGGAGAAGUGGACGUGUUUGUACACAGGAAAGGAUGGCAAAAAGUGUGAGCUGAGCAAUGCAGACCUUAGUGAACUGAUAGAGAACGAGUUGAACUGAGUUCAAGGCUAAGAGGACAUACAGGACAUACAGGAAGCCUUGGACAACAUAGAGAAGAAUCACGACGGACAGGUGAACUUUCAUAAGUUCAGCCGCUGCGUGGCCAUCCAGGAGAUACUUCAGGAAGAAACAUGGCGAGCAAUGUGGGAAGGGCCAAAGCUAAGCAAUAGCGCCCCUGGCACACAUAAUGUGAGCUUAAUGACACUGACGCCAGCAUACAUUUUCAUGGAUGUUCAUUUUUGACAUUCUACAUUGAAAAUAAAAUUAUGA